AUUGAACGCUGGCGGCAUGCUUUACACAUGCAAGUCGAACGGCAGCGCGGGCUUCGGCCUGGCGGCGAGUGGCGAACGGGUGAGUAAUGCAUCGGAACGUGCCCAGUAGUGGGGGAUAGCCCGGCGAAAGCCGGAUUAAUACCGCAUACGACCUGAGGGUGAAAGCGGGGGACCGAAAGGCCUCGCGCUAUUGGAGCGGCCGAUGUCGGAUUAGCUAGUUGGUGGGGUAAAGGCUUACCAAGGCGACGAUCCGUAGCUGGUCUGAGAGGACGACCAGCCACACUGGGACUGAGACACGGCCCAGACUCCUACGGGAGGCAGCAGUGGGGAAUUUUGGACAAUGGGGGCAACCCUGAUCCAGCCAUGCCGCGCGAGGGAAGAAGGCCUUCGGGUUGUAAACCGCUUUUGUUCGGGAAGAAAUCCUCUGGGCUAAUACCCCGGGGGGAUGACGGUACCGGAAGAAUAAGCACCGGCUAACUACGUG
rnacentral:rRNA from 1 species